ACGGGAGGCAGCAGUGAGGAAUAUUGGUCAAUGGACGGAAGUCUGAACCAGCCAUGCCGCGUGCAGGAAUAAGGCCCUAUGGGUCGUAAACUGCUUUUGUAGUGGAGCAAUAAGGUCUACGUGUAGAUCGAUGAGAGUACAUUACGAAUAAGCAUCGGCUAACUCCGUGCCAGCAGCCGCGGUAAUACGGAGGAUGCGAGCGUUAUCCGGAUUUAUUGGGUUUAAAGGGUGCGUAGGCUGUUUGUCAAGUCAGCGGUGAAAUGCCGGGGCUCAACCCCGGAGCUGCCGUUGAUACUGUUGGGCUUGAAUACUGUUGCCGUGGGAGGAAUGAGUAGUGUAGCGGUGAAAUGCAUAGAUAUUACUCAGAACACCGAUUGCGAAGGCAUCUCACGAAGCAGCGAUUGACGCUGAGGCACGAAAGCGUGGGGAUCAAACAGGAUUAGAUACCCUGGUA
rnacentral:rRNA from 1 species